rnacentral:rRNA from 1 species
AGGCGAAACCGCGAAUGGCUCAUUAAAUCAGUUAUGGUUCCUUAGAUCGUACCCAACUACUUGGAUAACUGUGGUAAUUCUAGAGCUAAUACAUGCAGCAGAGCUCCGACCCUCGGGAACGAGCGCUUUUAUUAGACAAGACCAAUCGGGCCCGUCCGUGACUCAUGGUGACUCUGAAUAACUUUGGGCUGAUCGCACGGGCUCGUCCCGGCGACGCAUCUUUCAAGUGUCUGCCUUAUCAACUGUCGAUGGUAGGUCACGUGCCUACCAUGGUCGUAACGGGUGACGGGGAAUCAGGGUUCGAUUCCGGAGAGGGAGCCUGAGAAACGGCUACCACAUCCAAGGAAGGCAGCAGGCGCGCAAAUUACCCACUCCCGGCACGGGGAGGUAGUGACGAAAAAUAACAAUACGGGACUCUUUUGAGACCCCGUAAUUGGAAUGAGUACACUCUAAAUCCUUUCACGAGGAUCAAUCGGAGGGCAAGUCUAGUGCCAGCAGCCGCGGUAAUUCUAGCUCCGAUAGCGUAUAUUAAAGUUGUUGCGGUUAAAAAGCUCGUAGUUGGAUCUCAGUUCCAGUCGGCCGGUCCGCCAAACGGUGGUCACCGGCCGUUCUGAACAGCCAGCCGGUUUCCCUGGAUCAUCUUCACCGGUUGUCCUGGGUGACCGGCAAGUUUACUUUGAAAAAAUUAGAGUGCUCAGAGCAGGCGCAACGCCUGGAUAAUGGUGCAUGGAAUAAUGGAAUAGGACCUCGGUUCUAUUUUGUUGGUUUUCGGAACGAGAGGUAAUGAUUAAGAGGGACAGACGGGGGCAUUCGUAUUGCGACGCUAGAGGUGAAAUUCUUGGACCGUCGCAAGACGAACUACUGCGAAAGCAUUUGCCAAGAAUGUUUCCGUUAAUCAAGAACGAAAGUUAGAGGUUCGAAGGCGAUCAGAUACCGCCCUAGUUCUAACCAUAAACGAUGCCAACCAGCGAUCCGCCUGAGUUCCUCAAAUGACUCGGCGGGCAGCUUCCGGGAAACCAACUUUGGGUUCCGGGGGAAGUAUGGUUGCAAAACUUAAACUUAAAGGAAUUGACGGAGAGGCACCACAAGCCGUGGAGCUUGCGGCUUAAUUUGACUCAACACGGGGAAACUCACCCGGCCCGGACACUCGAAGGAUUGACAGAUUGAGAGCUCUUUCUUGAUUGAGUGGAUGGUGGUGCAUGGCCGUUCUUAGUUGGUGGAACGAUUUGUCUGGUUAAUUCCGAUAACGAGCGAGACUCUAGCCUACUAAAUAGACGUUCCGAUCCCUCCAGUCGGACGUUUUCUUAGAGGGACAGGCGGCGUUCAGCCGCACGAGACAGAGCGAUAACAGGUCAGUGAUGCCCUUAGAUGUCCGGGGCCGCACGCGUGCUACAAUGAAGGAAGCAGCGCGUGAUUCCCCUGCCCGUCAGGGCUGGGUAACCUGAUGAGACUCCUUCGUGCUAGGGAUAGGGGCUUGUAAUUGUCCCCCUUGAACGAGGAACGCCCAGUAAGCGCGAGUCAUCAGCUUGCGCUGAYUAAGUCCCUGCCUCUUGUUCACACCGCCCGUCGCUACCUCCGAUUGAGCGGCUUAGUGAGGCCUUCGGACUGGCGCUCGGAGCGGCCUCGCGGUCGCGCCGGGUGCCGGAAAGACGGUCGAACUUGAC